CACUCGCUCUUUAGCCCACUGUUGGGAUGUAUCUGUUCUGCCUUGCUGGUAAAUCUCUAUGUACCCUGGUGUUGGGUUCUCCAGUGGGCCGGCAGGUAACAUUCCUCAACUUUAGUGGUUGGACAGUCAGAGGUGCUUGAGUCAUUGGCAUGUUAAAGUAAUUUAGUUGCACAGUAGCCUCUCUGUUCUGAUGUGAAUAUCCUGUUUUUCCAGGCUGUUUCUGCCAUCAGAACUUUGCUUUAUCAAAGCCC